rnacentral:tRNA from 1 species
AGGAUUUUAGUUUAUAUAGAAUGAUUUUUUUGCAUAAAAUUGGAUGUUAUAAAUUCUA